rnacentral:rRNA from 1 species
AGUGAACGCUGGCGGUAGGCCUAACACAUGCAAGUCGAACGGCAGCACAGUAAGAGCUUGCUCUUACGGGUGGCGAGUGGCGGACGGGUGAGGAAUACAUCGGAAUCUACUUUUUCGUGGGGGAUAACGUAGGGAAACUUACGCUAAUACCGCAUACGACCUACGGGUGAAAGCAGGGGAUCUUCGGACCUUGCGCGAUUGAAUGAGCCGAUGUCGGAUUAGCUAGUUGGCGGGGUAAAGGCCCACCAAGGCGACGAUCCGUAGCUGGUCUGAGAGGAUGAUCAGCCACACUGGAACUGAGAAACGGUCCAGAAUCCUACGGGAGGCAGCAGUGGGGAAUAUUGGACAAUGGGCGCAAGCCUGAUCCAGCCAUACCGCGUGGGUGAAGAAGGCCUUCGGGUUGUAAAGCCCUUUUGUUGGGAAAGAAAAGCAGCAGGUUAAUACCCCGCUGUUCUGACGGUACCCAAAGAAUAAGCACCGGCUAACUUCGUG